rnacentral:tRNA from 1 species
GCCCUGUUAGCUCAGUUGGCAGAGCAUUGACUCUUAAUCAGCUUGAUUCAGGUUCGAUUCUUUCUAUACAUGGCU